UUGGCAUUGUUCGCGUCGUCCGCCUUCUCUCUCUCUCUAACCCACUGCCAGCCACCUCUGCGACCGUCGCGACCACUCGCCAAGUAAAUUUUCUUCCGCCCACCUGACUACGCCUCGACCUCGGCCUCGGCGCCGCCUCCGUCCGCCGGACGCGGCAGCCAUGGCGCCAGCGGUGGGGCUCAAGCGCUCCGCCACGCAGACCAUCACUCUGCCGCCGCCCGACACGCGGCUGGCUGUGCGCGAUGUCAUGCGCUCCACGAUCCCGUCGCAGCCCGCCGUGGCGCCGGCGUCCACGGAGAGGCAGGCGCCCGCCGCGGCGUUGCAGGGGUUCCUGUGCCUGGAGGAGGUGGACGGGAGGCGGUGGAGCUACGUGGUGGACGGUGGGGCCGCGAAGGGGAGGAGCAGGGGCGGGGCCGUCCCCGCUGGGGCCGCCGUCAGGGCCGUGCCGCUGCAGUCGCCGCUUCCGCCUGCCGAGGAAAUAAUGGCAUUCAUAAGAUCAUAUGUGGUGCCUGAAGGGUUUCCAGACAGUGUUACUCCUUCAUAUGUACCUUACAUGACCUGGAGGGCUCUGAAGCAUUUCUUUGGUGGAGCGAUGGGAGUGUUUACGACAAGAACCUUGCUGAGUUCUGUUGGAGUCUCUCAAAGCAAGGUAACACCAGGUGCCAUUGCUAUCAACUGGAUCCUCAAGGAUGGUGCUGGGCGUGUCGGGAAAAUGCUUUUUGCACGUCAAGGAAAGAAGUUUGACUAUGACCUAAAGCAGUUGCGGUUUUCUAGUGAUCUCUUGUUGGAAAUAGGAGCUGGGAUAGAAUUAACUACUGCUGCAUUCCCUCAGUUUUUCUUGCCUAUGGCUUGCGUAGCCAAUGUUGUAAAGAACGUCGCUGCUGUUACAUCAACUUCAACUCGCACUCCAAUCUAUAAGGCCUAUGCUAGAGGAGAAAAUAUUGGAGAUGUCACUGCUAAAGGCGAAUCUGUUGGGAACAUUGCAGAUCUGCUCGGUACUGGUUUGAGUAUCUUUAUCUCAAAAAGGAAUCCCUCACUGGUGACUUCGUUUGCCUUCCUUUCCUGUGGAUAUCUCCUGAGUUCAUAUCAAGAGGUGAGGUCUGUUGUGCUGAAUACCCUAAACAGGGCAAGGUUUACCGUCGCAGUGGAUUCCUUCAUUAAAACUGGUCACAUUCCCUCCUUGAAGGAAGGAAACUCACAGGAGACGAUAUUUAAUCCACCUUGGCGGCAUGAGCCAGUCGCAAUAGGUUCAAGGUUUGGAGAAGCAUUUCAAGAGCCAGCUUCAUUUCUUGCCAUACGACCUCUGUUUGAGGACGAGAGAUACAUGGUAACAUAUAACCCAACAAAGGAUAAAGUAUAUGCUUUGCUCAAGGACCAGGCAAAAUCAGACGACAUUAUUAAAGCUGCUUUCCAUGCUCAUGUGCUAUUGCAUUUUAUUAAUGCAUCACAUGCUCGGAGACUGAAGCAGAAGCAGAAGCAGGCAAACCCUGACCGAUCAGAGUAUCUGUACUCUAGAAACAUGGAUUUCCUGGCACACAUCGCUGAAUCUUGCAAAAUAGUUUCCUCAUCAUAUGGAACAUUCAAGAAGAAAGCUAGGGAACAGGGUUGGAUAAUGUCAGAAUCUCUGCUCAACCCUGGCAAGGCUCGAUUAUGUGCAGCAAAACCACAAUGAAUGUACUGUUUCAGUUUAGUAUCGAUGAGAUGAUACCAAUCUCAUGUUUGUAAGACCAACUUUUCUAACGAGACGGGAUGGCUAAGUUCUUAGGAGCUGAACUAACAUAUGUUGGUGCCUAGCACUAGGCGUGAACCUUUGAUCUGAAGCUUGCCAAAUUCCAGGAAGAGGAAGAGUUUUACGAUUUGAAGAAUGCCUGAACAUGUAAUAAAACAUGCAGUGGAUAAGUGGUGCGCUGGUUCGCGACUCGCGAGUAAAGGGCUCAACGAGGGUGACUUCAAACUUCUAACUGCAGAGACUAGAGCUUGUAUUUAUGUUUGCUGCGGUAUCAGAUUUGGUGUAGCCAUUCCUGAUGUAACCUGUUUCCCUUCCGUGUUGGUCGGCUGCGGGGCUUCUUGUUUGGAAGUCUUUGGAGUUGCUACGUUUUUUACCCGCCACUUGGCCGACUUGUGGCACUUGAGUGUUCAUCUCCUUGGCUUCUAGACCCCGUUAGAGCAUCACCAGCAGCUGCGGGAGAUGCUCUUAGCAAGUUCCAGUUUAUCAGUGAAGAGUCAAUCACUGAUGUCGUCCAUAGCUCCUUCAAACCUUGUACAUACAUGAUCGGUAAUAACUGCAAGCCUUCUUUCUGUUGAUAUGGCGUGCUGGUGUGGACCUGUAGUAUGGUAUCCACUGCUGUGUUAUUGUGUAUGCUCUUUUUUACAAAAAAAAGAAGAAGUUAUUGUUGUGUA